ensembl:lncRNA
GGCCAUGGCAGCACAGCAGGAAACCUGGGAAACGAGAUGUAUGCUGGUGUUCUGGGGGCACACUGGGGCCCUACCACGAGAGGAGGUGAUCCUGGGAGGCUUCUUGGAGGAGGGGAUGCUGCUGUGAGUCUUGAAGGUGAGUAGGUAGUUGUUGUUCAGUCACUAAAUCAUGUCUGCUUUUUGUGAGCCUCAUGGACUGUAGCAUGCCAGACUUCCCUGUCCUUCACCAUCUCCUGGAGCUUGCUCAAAUUCAUGUCUAUUGAGUCAGUGAUGCUAAUCAACUAUCUCAUCUUCUGUUGCCUCCUUCUCCUGCCCUCAAUCUUUCCCAGCAUCAGGGUCUUUUCUAGUGAGUCAGCUCCUUGAAUCAGGUGGCCAAAGUAUUGGGGCUUCAGCUUCAGCAUCAGUCCUUCUAAUGAACAUUCAGGGUUGAUUUCCUUUAGGAUUGACUGGUUUGAUCUCCUUGCUGUCCAAGGGACUCUCAAGCACAGUUCGAUACCAUCAAUUCUUCAGCACUCAGCUGUCUUUAUGGUCCAUCACUCACAUCUGUACAUGGCUACUGGAAAAGCCAUAGCUUUGAUUAUACAGACCUCAGUUGGCAAAGUGAUGUCUCUGCUUUUUAAUAUGCUGUCUAGGUGCUUGCUCCUUGGAAGAAAGCUAUGACAAACCUAGAUCGCAUAUUGCAUUGAGCAGAAGCUGACAAGUUUCCUGAGGGCCAUGUUCCUGGCUGGAAGAUGGGAUGACCCAGCCCAAGUAAUAGCUUUGCUCUUUACCAAUUUUGAAUCACCUGUCCCAUCUCUGAGGCCUUAGGCACUCAGGAACCCACACACACCAACUGGAUCUCAGAUAGAAAGUUACACAAUUGCUGACAUGAGGCAAACUCUCAGAUUUUGACAAGGCCAGUUAAUCCAGGAGGGUGGUGUGUCUGUUCUAGGAGAGUCUGUUGGCAUCUGAUGUACACAGAGCAUCAAAGACUGGGGUCCUCUGACCUGGCAUAUUUGGAGAUGCCUACACUCCUCUACACAGAGGUGAAAAUACCCUAUACAAGCCCCAGCUCUGCCAACUGCCUCUUCUCCUCCCAUUCUCAGUGGCCUCCAAGCAGUCUUCCCACGUCCCCAGUCUGCAGGUGGGAAGCCCCCAGGGCCAAGCUGGGACUCUUACAUGCUCUGAGGAACGCGUCAGGUUGUGUCCUUGGACAGAGGCCUGGAGCUGCUGCCCUCCCACGUCUAUGGAGUGGAUGCAAACCUUGCCAGGACCUCAGAACAGGGGACCACACCUGUCCUUGGGCUCUGACCUCCCCCAUCACUCUGCGCAACACCUGCCGACAACCAAGCGUGCUCACUCUGACUCCUGCGGGAGGAUGUCCCAGCCUCCUGAGUUUUUUCUCUCGCUCUGUUAAGGUCAGUGGACCAUAAAGAAGGCUGAAGGCUGAAGAACUGAUGCUUUCAAAAUGUGGUACUGGAGAAGACUCUUGAGAGCCUCUUGGACAGCAAGAAGAUCAAACCAGUCAGUCCUAAAGGAAAUCAACCCUGAAUACUCAUUGGAAGGACUGAUGCUCAGGCUGAAGCUCCAAUACUUUGGCCACCUGAUGCAAACAGCUGACUCAUUGGAAAAGACCUUGAUGUCGGAAAAGAUUGAAGGUGAAAGAAGAGGGCAGCAGAGGAUGAGAGGCUUGGAUAGCAACACUGAUUCAAUGGACAUGAACUUGGGCAAACGCUGGGAGAUGGUGAGGAACAGGGAGGCCUGGUAUGCUGCAGUGCAUGGGGCUGCAAAGAGUUGGACGCAACUUAGCAACUGAACAACAACAACAAAAGGUCAGUGGACAGACCAGCCUCAGAAACACCUACUUUCCUGAGACAGACAGCAUGGCCUGCAGCCAGUUCACAGCUGGCCAACAGCGAGGCAUGUCCCAGCAGGGUGGCCCCUCCUGUGUCUGACCUGGAACCAGGAACAGAUGCUUCCUGAAGGUUCUGACCAUUUCUGCAGGGGUGUCUGAGGGAGCCACUGAGCCACUGAGCCACUCACCUCUGACCUCCCAUCUACCCUUUCCUGAUGGAAUGGCGCUGCAAAUCAGACCCUUUAACUGGACAAGCUAUCUUGGACAUGACAACCGUAUCCAUCUGGCACUCUUGCUGCAGGCCCGUGUGUCUAUGUAUGUUUCGUGCAUAGGUCCUGGUGGUGUCUUCCAUCUUGGCUGUCAUAUAAGUUAGCACACACACCGUCUGUGCAUAUUUGUGCUGAGGAUGUCAGCAUCCAUGUCUGCACCUGUCCUGUGCCAGCAGCUUUGGGAGCUGCUGGGUGUGCGUGCGGCUGUGAGCACGCAUGUGGGCUGCUGUCUGUGUGCCUUUGAGAAGGCAUGGAUCUGUUGGUUGCUGUGGGUACUUGUGUGGGCAUAUGUAUGAGGCUGUGCCCACACCUGUGGGGCCCCUGUGAUCUGUCCUGGCAUGCCUUCCUGUCUGGGCGGGUCUGGGCCUGCUCUCCUACCCACUAAGGUACUCGGGGUGAGCACAGGAAAACUGGAGGCUGAAUGAAGGUGCCCCUGCACCUGUGGUCUCAGCGACCCACUGCUUUCUUCUGUAUUUUCCAGCCUCACCUCUAGGUCUUUCUUCCUGGGGUUUUACCACAUCUGGUACUCAAUAAGUGAUUGAUUGGUGAAGGAAUGGAUGAAAAGGGGGCUUUGAGGGGGUGUUCUGGAGGGGAGGAAGGCGGGCACCCCAGGAUAGGUGGGAGCGCCAGCUUUGGACAGGCCGGGCAGCGCCAGCCGGGCGAUCAAGGCUGGCAGAGCCUGGGUCGGGGGCAUCAGGGUCUGUGGGCCGCCCCCGCGCUCCCUGGGGACGUCUCGGGUCACCGUCUGCACCGCCGGCCGCGCCGCCCCGCGGGUUAUUUAUGACCCCCUCUCCCUCCCUGGCGGCGGCGGCGGCGGCGGCGGGCGGCAGCAGCAGCGGAGGGCCCCGCGCGGGGGAACCUCGAGAAGCGAUGGCGCCGCGGAGGCCGGCGGGCGGGGGCGGGGCCUCCUCGGGCCAGAGGAGGAGCUGCAGCCGCCGACCCCACCUUCACUCUCCGCGGGGUCGCCAAGCCUGAGGGCAAGGUGGCGGUGAUCCCAAUGCCAGAAUUCUGUCCCUCUGGCCUGACUCCAGUCUGAGAAGUGCAAAGGAACGUGCGGGCUCAGGCGCCAGACGGACACAAGUGGACAGGCGGAAGGAAGGGAGCAGAUCCUUUUGGGAAGGCUAUGAUAGCCAGGGUGAGGGUACCUAGUCCCCCAGGGGAAAGUUACUCUGAGCCCCCGUGGGCUGAAGGCUCUAUUUCCCAGGAACAGGGGGAAAUAUGUGGGGGCGGGGUUGAACUGCCCUGAUCAGUCAAGACCCUGGAGGAUCCCUGGAAGAUGUCUCCUUGGAGUCAAGAGUGGCCCUAGGAGGAGUGGGGUCCUACAGGGAAUUUUGGACCCAGUCACGAUGUUUUCAGGAGGGUCCUGGUCCUCCAACGAAGGCUGGAGCCAGAUGGCGGCAUGGAGGUUAGGCUGGGUCCAGUAGGUCAGCCCCACACCUUGAAAGCUGGGCCCCUCCCUGAAAGCCACAGUUGAGGGUCCUGCAUGCCACUCCUAACCACUGUGGGCACAUGUGUGACAAAAGAGGCCGGGGAUGAGUGAAGGGUGGUUCUGGGAGGACCCCUGCUCAGACUCAGGAGAGAGGAGAGGCCGGACCUGACAGCUCUCUGGUAUCUUCUCAGAUCUAGAGAUGAGCUUUCAGCCUCCCUUCCCCAGACCACAGUGUGAAGGUCAGGGGUUAAGAGGCCUGAGGCUCAGCGGACAGGUGCAGGCAAACAUUAGAAGAGCUGGGCGGAGGCUGUCUUUUGGCAGCUGGGUCAGGGCUGUAGCCAAACAGGCUCAUUGGAUGUGGCCUCUCCAUAUAGAGCUAUGACCGCAGAUUAACAUGACAGUUCCCCAUGGGUCUUGGCGCUCAGGUGAGGACAGCCUCCUGCAUCCAUUAGACACGGAGCAUCACACCUGAGAACAAGACAUAGGCCACAGAGGCUGGGUGUGGGAGGAGCUCCCUAGCUGUCACUCCUGGAGUCAGGUAUGUGCAGGAGUCCAGGUUACAAAGACAGCAAUAGGGCUGAGGGUGGUGAAGUAAGGAGGGGUCACUCGCAUUCACACCUGUCUUGCCACCCACCCCUUAAACCCCCACAGACAAAUAUACAAGAAGUAAAGGAGUGGAAGUUCCCAGACACAUUCUUGGUCUGAGCCCAGACCUCACUCCCCAGGUUGGUCUUGGGGCUGGCUGAUACCUAAGCUGAGAGUGAGGAGAGCAGUGUACAUCAGCACAGGGGUCCCCAGCAGUCAGCCACAUGCCCAGCUGGUGCUGACGUCUGGUAGGAGACCCUUGGGGAGUAGGGAUGGAGUGUUCCCUCACUCCCAGCCCACCCUUGCAGAAGGUGCAAGCACUCCUAUGAUCCAGCUCACUCCCCCCCCCACCUCCCCAGCUCCUGCCCCAGAGCCUGGUCAGGAAGAUGCUCAUAUGGGUACCCCACCAGGUACAUCUCAGAGGGGCAGGGGCAGGGGUCUGAGAGCAGAGUUGGGAGUUGAGGCUACUUUCUAGCUUGUCCAAAAUGGCACACCCGAGAAAUACAAGGUGUCACCAAGUACUAUCAAAGCCACCGAGUUUCUCAGUUUCUCUUCCCAAUUAUCCCACGGCGGGGCCACCAUGCCAAACUGAAGGGAGGUAUGGGUUGAUCCCAGGAGACAACCUCCCUCAUUCCAGGGCUAGACCAAGGCUGGAGGAAGAGGUGGACACGGAUGCAGAGGUCCCUCGUCCUCAGACUUGCACGUGGCAGGUAACAGAAAUAUGCUCAAGUGCACAGUCCCACAUUCAGCUGCCUCUCCUCCUCCCCACACACCCCACCCUCCACCCAGAUUGCCUCUAGCCCCACUUCCUUGGCCCACCCCAUACUGUUUGUUGUGGAGGCAGACAGCCUGGAUUUGAAACAACUGUGUGACACCAGGAGUUACUUGGCCCCUUUGUAUCUCGCCCUUCCUCAUCUGUAAAAUAAAAACCCUUUGGGUGUCA